rnacentral:rRNA from 1 species
UACGUAGGGGGCAAGCGUUGUCCGGAAUCAUUGGGCGUAAAGCGCGCGUAGGCGGCCCGGUAAGUCCGCUGUAAAAGUCCAGGGCUCAACCCUGGAAAGCCGAUGGAUACUGCCGGGCUAGAGUACGGAAGAGGCGAGUAGAAUUCCUGGUGUAGCGGUGGAAUGCGCAGAUAUCAGGAGGAAUACCCAUAGCGAAGGCAGCUCGCUGGGACGUUACUGACGCUGAGGCGCGAAAGCGUGGGGAGCGAACAGG